rnacentral:rRNA from 1 species
GAUGAACGCUGGCGGCAGGCUUAAUACAUGCAAGUCGAACGGUAACAGUAUUAGCAAUAGUAGCUGACGAGUGGCGGAUGGGUGCGUAACGCGUAUGCAACCUACCCUUAACGGGAACAUAACGUUGAGAAAUCGGCGCUAAUAUUCCAUGUGUUUAUGAAGAGGCAUCUUUUUAUAAAUAAAGAUUUAUCGGUUAGGGAUGGGCAUGCGUAUCAUUAGUUAGUUGGUGGGGUAACGGCCUACCAAGACGAUGAUGAUUAGGGGUUCUGAGAGGAUAUCCCCCCACACUGGAACUGAGAACGGUCCAGACUCCUACGGGAGGCAGCAGUAGGGAAUAUUGGGCAAUGGAGGCAACUCUGACCCAGCCAUGCCGCGUGAAGGAAGACAGUCUUAUGGAUUGUAAACUUCUUUUAUCAUAGAGUAACCACAGGGGACCGUUCCCUGUCUGCAAGUAUAUGAUGAAUAAGCAUCGGCUAACUCCGUGCCAGCACG